rnacentral:rRNA from 1 species
UAGUGGCGAACGGGUGAGUAACACGUGGGCAAUCUGCCCUUCACUCUGGGACAAGCCCUGGAAACGGGGUCUAAUACCGGAUAUGAGUCGGGACCGCAUGGUCCUGACUGUAAAGCUCCGGCGGUGAAGGAUGAGCCCGCGGCCUAUCAGCUUGUUGGUGAGGUAAUGGCUCACCAAGGCGACGACGGGUAGCCGGCCUGAGAGGGCGACCGGCCACACUGGGACUGAGACACGGCCCAGACUCCUACGGGAGGCAGCAGUGGGGAAUAUUGCACAAUGGGCGAAAGCCUGAUGCAGCGACGCCGCGUGAGGGAUGACGGCCUUCGGGUUGUAAACCUCUUUCAGCAGGGAAGAAGCGAAAGUGACGGUACCUGCAGAAGAAGCGCCGGCUAACUACGUGCCAGCAGCCGCGGUAAUACGUAGGGCGCAAGCGUUGUCCGGAAUUAUUGGGCGUAAAGAGCUCGUAGGCGGCUUGUCACGUCGAUUGUGAAAGCUCGGGGCUUAACCCCGAGUCUGCAGUCGAUACGGGCUAGCUAGAGUGUGGUAGGGGGAGAUCGGAAUUCCU